rnacentral:rRNA from 1 species
UACGUAGGGGGCUAGCGUUGUCCGGAUUUAUUGGGCGUAAAGGGCUCGUAGGCGGCCAAUUAAGUCCGACGUGAAAUCCCCAGGCUUAACCUGGGAACUGCGUCGGAUACUGGAUGGCUUGAAUUCGGGAGAGGGAUGCAGAAUUCCAGGUGUAGCGGUGAAAUGCGUAGAUAUCUGGAGGAACACCGGUGGCGAAGGCGGCUGCCUGGACCGAUAUUGACGCUGAGACGCGAAAGCGUGGGGAGCAAACAGG